GGAAGCAUAUUGGCUCAGUGAGAGAGCAUCUGCUUCACAUACAGAAGGUCUCAGGAUCAAUUCCUGGCAUCUCCA
rnacentral:tRNA from 1 species